rnacentral:piRNA from 1 species
UGAGUAAAGCAUGGUCUUCAGCCUCACAGU